AAUUCUCAACCCCUCUCGAUUUGCUUCGAGAGGGCGUUUGGAUGGUGGGGGCUGCCGGAGACUUGGAUUCGUCCAGGACUCGGGCUCUCCUGAAAUGCAUCGGCUUGCGGUCGACUUUCGACUUUGCAUGACAAGGCCUUCGGCGUGAUAAUGAUCGCCGUUAGCUGAAGUGCAUGAAUGAAGGUCCCGUGCCUCUAACGCGUCGACGCUUUUAUUAGCGUCUUCCUUAUUGAC
rnacentral:misc_RNA from 3 species